UCUUCAACUUGUCAGCCUUCUCAAAGUCGGACACAGAGAGUGUGUAAAGGUACUUGGAGCAGCGAACCUUGAACUUAACCAUAUCCUUGUUCUUCUUGAUCUUGACAGAUCGUGCAUCCUUCCUCCUUGCUGUUAGGAGAAAAUCCUUGAUCUCAUGGAUUUGCUUCG